rnacentral:rRNA from 1 species
UACGAAGGGGGCUAGCGUUGCUCGGAAUGACUGGGCGUAAAGGGCGCGUAGGCGGCGAUCACAGUCAGAUGUGAAAUUCCUGGGCUUAACCUGGGGGCUGCAUUUGAUACGUGGUUGCUUGAGUGGGGAAGAGGGUCGUGGAAUUCCCAGUGUAGAGGUGAAAUUCGUAGAUAUUGGGAAGAACACCGAUGGCGAAGGCAGCUCGCUGGGACGGUACUGACGCUGAGGCGCGAAAGCGUGGGGAGCGAACAGG